GGGGUAUAGCCAAAUGACAUCCUAGCUGUUGGGGUCAGCAUCAGCUUGUCAUCCAGAGUUUUGGACUAUGUGGCCCCUUCCUGAAGUUUCCUAAAAAAGAAAGAAUGAUGAAAGAUGAUGAAAAAACUGAAAGAUUAUGAAAGAACUGAAAAGAAGGAAGUUCUUCACAUGCAUCAGUGAGCUAUUAAAAGAGAGGAGGAUGUGAUUUGGCCAUCUGAGGAUCUCUCGCCUGGCUUUAUGGAGCAUUCAGCUGGCUCUGAGGGCCAUAUCCUGUUCCAGCUGUAUCUGCACAAGAAAGAUAUCUUCCAUCUUAUCAUGGCUGAAACAACAAAUGUAAAUGCUGGUGCUUUAUCCUGCUGAGACUACUGCAGGAGGACACUGGUGGGGAAAUUUGCCUAUGAAUUUUCAAAAAGGCUGAAGAUGAGCAGUGCUGGUAAACCUGAGCCAUCGGCUGACUCCUCAUUUCAGAAAAGUGUUCCGACUUCCUCAUUGUUCCCCAUGAAGAUUACCAUGAAACUGAGCGAACAGUGAUCUACAUUUUGCAACAGGCUCCCUGAUCCAGCGGUACUGGAUAUUGGCUGAUAGCUCAGGCAAGAUAGCACAUCCGUGGCGCAAAGCUUUGGAGGGGCCUUUCACGGCGAAACACCAUGAGCAUUGACCUGAGACGCAGCUUUCUGCUCCGCAGCCCGAGUCCUCUAGAACUCCGGCUUGCCUGCUCCCAGGAGAGGGCAGUGGAGCCGCACACGCUCCGUGCCGCGGCCGGCGGGCCGCUCCGUCCCCGCGGGGCUGUGCGAG
ensembl:lncRNA